AGCACUCACCUAGGACCCUUACCGGAUGGCAGAUUUGAAUAUGCGGAUCCUCACUAAAAAUUGUUGAGUACCCCUGAUCUAUACACUGUCUGUGUGUGUGUGUGGGGGGGGUAUAUAGUGUGAGGCAGGAAAAUGGAUGUGCAAUGUGAAUGUGAGAUAUAUUUCUAUGCUGUCCAUACGUACAUGCCACAGACAUAGUGCUGUGAUGAACAAAUACUUUUAGAGUGUGAUAAUUAAUACCCCUGUCACUGGAACCUGGCUCCGGCUGAUGUUUUACUUGCACCUGAAUAAAGAUAUCCUUGGCACCGUAACCGUGAGUGAACUUCGUGAGUGCUCCCCCGCACAUUUCUUCUCUACUAGCAUUGAUAAUUAAUAUAUUUGCAUCUUCAUCCUGCAGCGAUUUUUACAAAGGGGAUAUGACCAAACCCGCUUGCAGGCCAACAAAUCCAAGAUUGCCCUCAGGGCAGGAGCUGGAGGCCAAGCAUCGGAGGAGGCAUACACCCUGGGCUAUCAUCAAGAAGUGGUCAGAUCUAAAGCGGAGGGAUCUGAUCUCUAAGAUCAGGGACCGGAAGUGCCCAGGAGCUCCACUUCCCUCGGAUAGGAGAAGGAGAGAAGCAGAGGAGAUGGAGGUGGAGUUGGAGGAGACGACGACAAUGAUGUAGAGGAGGCUGGACCAUCACGGCAGUCACCAUCUUCACCACCGGAAGUGGGGGAGAACAUUGAUGUGUUGGCGGAAGAGGAGCCUCAUUCCCCCCCAGCUCCUGAAGAGGAGGAAGAGGAAGUUCCCUACUGCCCCCGCCAGGAGGUUAUCUCAGAAUUAGGAUAUCAGAUCAUGCUGCUGCAGCGGGACCACAAUGCUGCGAUUGAAGAUCUCAAGACACUGCAGCAGCUUCUCAAUAAGAAGAUCCAAAAACUCAAGGAGCAACACAAAAAAAAGGUGCAGAAGCUGCUGGACCUGC